rnacentral:rRNA from 1 species
UACGAAGGGGGCUAGCGUUGCUCGGAAUUACUGGGCGUAAAGGGCGCGUAGGCGGAUGUCUAAGUUGGGGGUGAAAUCCCGGGGCUCAACCUCGGAACCGCCUUCAAUACUGGAUAUCUUGAGUUCGGGAGAGGUGAAUGGAAUGCCGAGUGUAGAGGUGAAAUUCGUAGAUAUUCGGCGGAACACCAGUGGCGAAGGCGACUCACUGGCCCGAUACUGACGCUGAGGCGCGAAAGCGUGGGGAGCAAACAGG